UACGUAGGGUGCGAGCGUUAAUCGGAAUUACUGGGCGUAAAGCGUGCGCAGGCGGUUUUGUAAGUCAGAUGUGAAAUCCCCGGGCUUAACCUGGGAAUGGCAUUUGGGACUGCAAGGCUGGAGUUUGGCAGAGGAGACUGGAAUUCCCGGUGUAGCAGUGAAAUGCGUAGAUAUCGGGAGGAAUACCGAUGGCGAAGGCAGGUCUCUGGGCUAUAACUGACGCUCAUGCACGAAAGCGUGAGGAGCAAACAGG
rnacentral:rRNA from 1 species